rnacentral:rRNA from 1 species
UACGUAGGGGGCUAGCGUUGUCCGGAAUCAUUGGGCGUAAAGAGCGCGUAGGCGGCUAGAUAAGUCCGGUGUGAAAGUCACAGGCUCAACCAGUGAAUGCCGCUGGAAACUGUCUGGCUAGAGUCCGGAAGGGGCGAGUGGAAUUCCUGGUGUAGCGGUGAAAUGCGCAGAUAUCAGGAGGAACACCAAUGGCGAAGGCAGCUCGCUGGGACGGUACUGACGCUGAGGCGCGAAAGCGUGGGGAGCAAACAGG